rnacentral:rRNA from 1 species
AUUGAACGCUGGCGGCAGGCCUAACACAUGCAAGUCGAGCGAGCGGCGGACGGGUGAGUAAUGUAUGGGGACUGCCCGAUAGAGGGGGAUAACUACUGGAAACGGUGGCUAAUACCGCAUACUAUCGGAUAACCCAUAUGGGUUUAGCUAGUAGGUGGGGUAAAGGCUCACCUAGGCGACGAUCUCUAGCUGGUCUGAGAGGAUGAUCAGCCACACUGGGACUGAGACACGGCCCAGACUCCUACGGAGGCAGCAGUGGGGAAUAUUUCACAAUGGGCGCAAGCCUGAUGCAGCCAUGCCGCGUGUAUGAAGAAGGCCUUAGGAUUGUAAAGUACUUUCAGCGGGGAGUCGUUACCCACAGAGGAAGCACCGGCUAACUCCGUGCCAGCCGCCGCGGUAAUUC